AUUGAACGCUGGCGGCAUGCCUUACACAUGCAAGUCGAGCGGCAGCGGGACCUUCGGGUUGCCGGCGAGCGGCGGACGGGUGGGUAAUGCCUAGGAAUCUGCCUGUUAGUGGGGGAUAACGCGGGGAAACUCGCGCUAAUACCGCAUACGUCCUACGGGAGAAAGCGGGGGCUCUUCGGACCUCGCGCUAACAGAUGAGCCUAGGUCGGAUUAGCUAGUUGGUGGGGUAAUGGCCCACCAAGGCGACGAUCCGUAACUGGUCUGAGAGGAUGAUCAGUCACACUGGAACUGAGACACGGUCCAGACUCCUACGGGAGGCAGCAGUGGGGAAUAUUGGACAAUGGGCGAAAGCCUGAUCCAGCCAUGCCGCGUGUGUGAAGAAGGUCUUCGGAUUGUAAAGCACUUUAAGUCGGGAGGAAGGGCUGUAGGCUAAUACCUUGCAGUUUUGACGUUACCGACAGAAUAAGCACCGGCUAACUUCGUGCCAGCCGCCGCCGUAAUAC
rnacentral:rRNA from 1 species